CCUACGGGGGGCAGCAGUGGGGGAUAUUGCACAAUGGGGGAAACCCUGAUGCAGCGACGCCGCGUGUGUGAAGACGUAUCUCUGUAUGUAAAGCUACUUCCGCCGGGGACAAGAAAGACGGUACCUGGGUAAGAAGCUCCGGCUAACUACGUGCCAGCAGCCGCGGUAAUACGUAGGGGGCGAGCGUUAUCCGGAGUUACUGGGUGUAAAGGGAGCGUAGACGGCUGUGCAAGGCUGAAGGUAAAGCCCAGGGCUCAACCCGGGGACUGCAUUGGAAACUGUGGAGCUAGAGUGAUGUAGAGGUAAGCGGAAUUCCUAGUGUAGCGGUGAAAUGCGUAGAUAUUAGGAGGAACACCAGUGGCGAAGGUGGCCUACUGGACAGUAACUGACGUUGAGGCUCGAAAGCGUGGGGAGCAAACAGGAUUAGAUACCCGUGUAGUC
rnacentral:rRNA from 1 species